rnacentral:rRNA from 1 species
GUCAGCCCGUGUCGUGAGAUGUUGGGUUAAGUCCCGUAACGAGCGCAACCCUUGUCCUUAGUUACCAGCACCUCGGGUGGGCACUCUAAGGAGACUGCCGGUGACAAACCGGAGGAAGGUGGGGAUGACGUCAAGUCAUCAUGGCCCUUACGGCCAGGGCUACACACGUGCUACAAUGGUCGGUACAAAGGGUUGCCAAGCCGCGAGGUGGAGCUAAUCCCAUAAAACCGAUCGUAGUCCGGAUCGCAGUCUGCAACUCGACUGCGUGAAGUCGGAAUCGCUAGUAAUCGUGAAUCAGAAUGUCACGGU